rnacentral:rRNA from 1 species
GACGAACGCUGGCGGCGUGCUUAACACAUGCAAGUCGAACGGAAAGGCCCUGCUUUUGUGGGGUGCUCGAGUGGCGAACGGGUGAGUAACACGUGAGUAACCUUGCCUGGGCUUUGGGAUAACUUCAGGCAACUGGGGCUAAUACCGGAUACGAGCUCCUGCUGCAUGGUGGGGGUUGGAAAGUUUGGGCGGUUGGGGAUGGACUGGGGGGUAAAUAGCUUGUGGGUUGGGUAGUUGCCUACCCAGGCAUUGGUGGGUGGCCGGCCUGAGAGGGUGGUCAGCGACAUUGGGACUGAGAGACGGCCCAGACGCCUACGGGAGGCAGAAGUGGGGAAUAUUGCACAAUGGGCGGGAGCCUGAUGCAGCAACGCCGCGUGCGGGAUGACGGCCUUCGGGUUGUAAACCGCUUUCGCCUGUGACGAAGCGUGAGUGACGGUAAUGGGUAAAGAAGCACCGGCUAACUACGUG